rnacentral:rRNA from 1 species
AGUGAACGCUGGCGGUAGGCCUAACACAUGCAAGUCGAACGGCAGCACAGUAAGAGCUUGCUCUUACGGGUGGCGAGUGGCGGACGGGUGAGGAAUACAUCGGAAUCUACUUUUUCGUGGGGGAUAACGUAGGGAAACUUACGCUAAUACCGCAUACGACCUACGGGUGAAAGCAGGGGAUCUUCGGACCUUGCGCGAUUGAAUGAGCCGAUGUCGGAUUAGCUAGUUGGCGGGGUAAAGGCCCACCAAGGCGACGAUCCGUAGCUGGUCUGAGAGGAUGAUCAGCCACACUGGAACUGAGACACGGUCCAGACUCCUACGGGAGGCAGCAGUGGGGAAUAUUGGACAAUGGGAGCAAGCCUGAUCCAGCCAUACCGCGUGGGUGAAGAAGGCCUUCGGGUUGUAAAGCCCUUUUGUUGGGAAAGAAAAGCAGCAGGUUAAUACCCCGCUGUUAUGACGGUACCCAAAGAAUAAGCACCGGCUAACUUCGUG